AAAACUGUGUGGAUCUAUGCCAGAAGUGCUGCAGUUUUAGCAAAUGCAGUGGUUUGACAAACCAAUAUUGCUAAGAUCGAGCAACAUUCAGGUUAAUGACAGCUGCUCUGUCAGCUGCUUCCUGAUGCAAGUGUUCACAGAUUGAGGAGCAAAGUGGAAGACAUCUGGAGCUUACCUUUGUAGAAUCACUCAGCAUUCAUGACUGCAUCCAGAGUGGUGAGGUGUUGGUAGCUGGAAGGUCUGCAGGGGUGGCCUAUGCAGGAGGAGACCAGAGCUGCCCUGUGCUGAACACAUGCACAUCCAGUCAGUCCUGCAAUGAAUCCAC
rnacentral:lncRNA from 1 species